UCUAUGUAAAUGGUAUUUUUCGAUGUGUAGAAUGUACAACACAUGGUUUUCUGCCCAAAAUAUUUGUUUACCCACAAUUGCUGGAAAUCAGCAGCAUGAAUUUUCAAAGUAAAACCUUUGACUGUCAGUGUUGUAUUUGCUUUUGGAAUAAAGUCGCACACAAUUUUUAAAUCUGACAUUAUUAUAUUUUUUCUACAGUGUAUUUACAAAACACUGUAAGUGCUAAGUACUAGUAAAGAAUCCUCCUGCUAAUUCCUAACACCUAAAAUCUAUCGUCUAAUCUCAUAUGUUAUGUUUCAGAGAAUUCUUCACUAAUACCAAAGUAUGCAUUAGUUUGUGGAAUUAUGUUUCAGAUUGUAAUUUUACAUAUUACAACACAAACACAGUUAUUUAAAUAUGUAAUGUUGAACUAAGAAGCAUAAUGUAGCAGAAAGUGAAACUGUCUGUUGCCAAACAGUGUUGGCAUUGGCAGUCAAUCUUUAGCAAAAGUUGAACUUUUCAUCUUUAAUUCUGAACUUGUUCUGUUCUGCUUGGUUCACUGAAACCUUACAAAGAAAAGUCAAAUCAUUCCAAGAAGAUGGUGUCAUAAAUUUAUUAAAACAUCCUAAGUCAUCAUGGAAAUAUUACAACGCACAGUUCUUACAGGGAAAUAAUUAUAAUGCAACAGUUUUGACGAUACCAAGCUUUUCUUGAAGACGCAUACCUUUAGAUGAGUCUACACCAAGCCUCAUUCUUUUAGAUUCUGCAGAAACAAGACAUACACGCUCAACCCAGUGCUGUGUUACAGUUGGUUAGUGCGCAUGGUUCAAAAGGCUCGUCGCUGCUAUCAUUUUGGAGCGCAUGUGUCUUUUGGAAAGAUACUUAUCGGUCAUUGCCCAACCCGGUGGUCAUUAACGGGUUGUCCGUAUAGUCAGCCAGUCAAACAAAUAACCCACAGUCGUACAUUACAACAGUAACGUACUAGAAGAGCUUGCAUGAGGUCUAUAAAACAAAACAUUCGUGUUCUAACUACUUUCAUACCUUUGGGUACUCGAGGAUACAGCAAGUGAUAUUCAACAGUAGGGGAUUGAUGCUAUACCAAUGCUUACAUUUAACAUAUAGGGAAUUCGUGCUUUACUAAUGUGUUCAAUUAUUAAACAAUAUAUACAUCGUGUCUGUACAUAAGGCAAAGCCGUAAUGGUUGUCUGUGCGUAUAAGUAAAGUAACUGAAAAUAUGA